rnacentral:rRNA from 1 species
AUUGAACGCUGGCGGCAGGCCUAACACAUGCAAGUCGAACGGUAACAGGAAACAGCUUGCUGUUUCGCUGACGAGUGGCGGACGGGUGAGUAAUGUCUGGGAAACUGCCUGAUGGAGGGGGAUAACUACUGGAAACGGUAGCUAAUACCGCAUAACGUCGCAAGACCAAAGAGGGGGACCUUCGGGCCUCUUGCCAUCGGAUGUGCCCAGAUGGGAUUAGCUAGUAGGUGGGGUAACGGCUCACCUAGGCGACGAUCCCUAGCUGGUCCGAGAGGAUGACCAGCCACACUGGAACUGAGACACGGUCCAGACUCCUACGGGAGGCAGCAGUGGGGAAUAUUGCACAAUGGGCGCAAGCCUGAUGCAGCCAUGCCGCGUGUAUGAAGAAGGCCUUCGGGUUGUAAAGUACUUU